rnacentral:rRNA from 1 species
UACGUAGGGUGCGAGCGUUGUCCGGAAUUAUUGGGCGUAAAGAGCUCGUAGGCGGUUUGUCGCGUCUGCUGUGAAAACUCAGGGCUUAACCCUGAGCCUGCAGUGGGUACGGGCAGACUAGAGUGUGGUAGGGGAGAUCGGAAUUCCUGGUGUAGCGGUGGAAUGCGCAGAUAUCAGGAGGAACACCGGUGGCGAAGGCGGAUCUCUGGGCCAUAACUGACGCUGAGGAGCGAAAGCAUGGGGAGCGAACAGGA